AUAAACUGUCAAAACAGUUUACAGCACACCUGAUCGCCUCUGAUCUCCGGAAGCUAAGCAGGGCCGUGCCUGGAUAGUACUGGAUAGGAGACCAAUGAGGGAUAAUGGUGCCUUUUGGC
rnacentral:rRNA from 1 species